CAUGAACUUUGAUUUCUUUCUAUAGGGAAGAGAAGAUGAUAAUAUUGAUACAAUAAGGAAGCGAUUCAAGGUUUUCCUGGAAUCUAGUUUACCUGUUAUUGAAUAUUACAACUCCAAGGGGAAGGUUCGAAAGAUUGAUGCUGCAAAACCUGUUGGAGAAGUAUUUGAAGCAGUUAAAGCUGUUUUUGCCCCAGCUGUUGAGAAGGUUGCUGCCUAGGAGUAUAUUGGUAGAGCGGCAUCAUGCUUACGUAUUAAUGGUAUACCAGUAUUGUUUGCAUUUUGGUGCUUGCUAUAAGGCGAUGUAUCUUUAUAGAUUCUACUUUUAUACAAGUUUAUGGCAAAAAUUUCUUUUUCUUUCUUCCUAUUUUUUGUUCUUAUGAAGGAAACAAAUGCUGUAUUAUUUGGCUUAUUGCCUCUGUAUUAUCAUUGUCGAGACUGAAUUUUUAUAAAUAAGAUUAUAAGAGUUUCUCUCU